AUGUUGGGUUAAGUCCCGCAACGAGCGCAACCCUUGUCAUUAGUUGCCAUCAUUCAGUUGGGCACUCUAAUGAGACUGCCGGUGACAAACCGGAGGAAGGUGGGGAUGACGUCAAGUCCUCAUGGCCCUUAUAGGUGGGGCUACACACGUCAUACAAUGGCCGGUACAGAGGGUAGCCAACCCGCGAGGGGGAGCCAAUCCCACAAAGCCGGUCGUAGUCCGGAUCGCAGUCUGCAACUCGACUGCGUGAAGUCGGAAUCGCUAGUAAUCGCGGAUCAGCAUGUCGCGGUGAAUACGUUCCCGGGUCUU
rnacentral:rRNA from 1 species